rnacentral:rRNA from 1 species
GACGAACGCUGGCGGCGUGCUUAACACAUGCAAGUCGAACGGAAAGGCCCUGCUUUUGUGGGGUGCUCGAGUGGCGAACGGGUGAGUAACACGUGAGUAACCUGCCCUUGACUUUGGUAUAACUUCAGGAAACUGGGGCUAAUACCGUAUAGGAGCUCCUGCUGCAUGGUGGGGGUUGGAAAGUUUCGGCGGUUGGGGAUGGACUCGCGGCUUAUCAGCUUGUUGGUGGGGUAGUGGCUUACCAAGGCUUUGACGGGUAGCCGGCCUGAGAGGGUGACCGGCCACAGUGGGACUGAGAUACGGCCCAGACUGCUAAGGGAGGCAGCAGUGGGGAAUAUAGCACAAUGGGCGGAAGCCUGAUGCAGCAACGCCGCGUGCGGGAUGACGGCCUUCGGGUUGUAAACCGCUUUCGCCUGUGACGAAGCGUGAGUGACGGUAAUGGGUAAAGAAGCACCGGCUAACUACGU